GUGCUCUGAAUGUCAAAGU
rnacentral:ncRNA from 2 species